rnacentral:rRNA from 1 species
AGUGAACGCUGGCGGUAGGCCUAACACAUGCAAGUCGAACGGCAGCACAGUAAGAGCUUGCCCUUACGGGUGGCGAGUGGCGGACGGGUGAGGAAUACAUCGGAAUCUACUUUUUCGUGGGGGAUAACGUAGGGAAACUUACGCUAAUACCGCAUACGACCUACGGGUGAAAGCAGGGGAUCUUCGGACCUUGCGCGAUUGAAUGAGCCGAUGUCGGAUUAGCUAGUUGGCGGGGUAAAGGCCCACCAAGGCGACGAUCCGUAGCUGGUCUGAGAGGAUGAUCAGCCACACUGGAACUGAGACACGGUCCAGACUCCUACGGGAGGCAGCAGUGGGGAAUAUUGGACAAUGGGCGCAAGCCUGAUCCAGCCAUACCGCGUGGGUGAAGAAGGCCGUCGGGUUGUAAAGCCCUUUUGUUGGGAAAGAAAAGCAGCAGGUUAAUACCCCGCUGUUCUGACGGUACCCAAAGAAUAAGCACCGGCUAACUUCGUG